GAUGAACGCUAGCGGCAGGCCUAAUACAUGCAAGUCGAACGGUAACAUGGCAGCAAUGCUGAUGACGAGUGGCGCACGGGUGCGUAACACGUAUGCAACCUACCCUUUACUGGGGAAUAGCCCGGAGAAAUUCGGAUUAACACCGCAUAAUAUAAUGAAAAGGCAUCUUUUUAUUAUUAAAUCUACGGAGGUAAAGGAUGGGCAUGCGGCUGAUUAGUUAGUUGGGAGGUAACGGCUCACCAAGACGAUGAUCAGUAGGGGUUCUGAGAGGAAGGUCCCCCACACUGGUACUGAGAUACGGACCAGACUCCUACGGGGAGGCAGCAGUAGGGAAUAUUGGGCAAUGGGCGAGAGCCUGACCCAGCCAUGCCGCGU
rnacentral:rRNA from 1 species